rnacentral:rRNA from 1 species
GUUUGAUCCUGGCUCAGAACGAACGCUGGCGGCGUGGCUAAGACAUGCAGGUCGAACGGACCAUCCUAUUGAGUAAUCGAGCGGAUGGUUAGUGGCGGAAGGAUGAGUAAUGCAUAAAUAACGUACCCCGAACUUUGGAAUAGCUGCGGUCUUCGGAUCUUUAGCGAAAGUGCAGAUAAUACCAGAUGAUAUCCUCCAGUCGCAUGGCUGUUGGAUCAAAGGGUUUUCGGAUACCGGUUUGGGAGCGGUUUAUGUCGUAUCAGUUUGUUGGCGAGGUAACGGCUCACCAAGACUUCGACGCGUAGCGGGACUGAGAGGUUGGCCCGCCAUAUCGGGACUGAGACACUGCCCGGACCUCCACGGAGGGCUGCAGUAACGGAUAUUGCGCAAUGGGCGAAAGCCUGACGCAGCGACGCCGCGUGUAGGUCGAAGCCCCUCGGGGUGUAAACUACUGUCAGGGUGAAGAAAGGCAAAGGCUGUAAUGCCUGCGCUUGAUCGAUCCCAGAGGAAGGACCGGCUAACUUCGUGCCGGCAGCCGCGGUAAUACGAAGGGUCCAAGCGUUGUUCGGAAUCACUGGGCUUAAAGCGCACGUAGGCGGAAGGCUAAGUGUCCUGUGAAAUCCCUCGGCUCAACCGAGGAACUGCGGGGCAUACUGGCUUUCUUGAGGCAAGUAGGGGUGCAUGGAACUCUAGGUGGAGCGGUGAAAUGCGUAGAUAUCUAGAGGAACGCCAGCGGAGAAAUCGGUGCACUGGGCUUGUUCUGACGCUGAGGUGCGAGAGCGUGGGGAGCGAACGGGAUUAGAUACCCCGGUAGUCCACGCCGUAAACGAUGUCUACUAGGUCGUGGAGAAUCUGACUUCAUCGCGGCCGAAGCAAAAGUGUUAAGUAGACCGCCUGGGGAGUACGGUCGCAAGGCUAAAACUCAAAGGAAUUGACGGGGGCUCACACAAGCGGUGGAGCAUGUGGCUUAAUUCGAACCAACGCGAAGAACCUAUCCUGGGUUUGACAUGCUUGGAUGCCUGCCGUGAAAGCGGAUUUGGCUGCCUUCGGGUGAAACUUGCACAGGUGCUGCAUGGCUGUCGUCAGCUCGUGUCGUGAGAUGUUGGGUUAAGUCCCGUAACGAGCGAAACCCUUAUCGUUAGUUGCCAGCGCGUUAUGGCGGGGACUCUAGCGAGACUGCCGGUGUUAAACCGGAGGAAGGUGGGGAUG